rnacentral:lncRNA from 1 species
UUUUUUGACGGAAAUCGAUUGGGCUACAUCUGGGUUGAAGAUUUACGACUGACCCUGCAUGCAUCGGGAAACUGCAUGUCUCACAGAGAUGUCAAGGAACUUGUACAAAGUGCAUUGCUGGAGAGCAACAAUGGGAGGGAUGAUCGUAUUCUCUACAGUAAGCUGGUGAAGAUGACUGAUAUCUGAACUCUCGUAUUUUCUCUGUCAAGAUACAAGGCAGUUAUUGAUGCUUAUUUAGAUGAAGGAGAUUUUAGUGGUCGGCGUUUUGGUGAAAUGGUGUUUACAUUGACUAAAGGCUCUACUCCCUCAUAUCAAUGCUUCCUUCCUCUGCAAAGUUUACGGCGCCUGGAUGUAAGCAAAACAAAGCUCAUUUCACUCCUACGCUAAGUGUACCACGUUGUUUCGAUGAAAGCUACGUUCAGGAAAUCGUUGAAAAAGCACCUCAGGUUUACUAACAAUGGAUCUUCGUUUUGGCGAUGUCAUUGAUGACGUGGCUCGAUACUUUAAGGAUGCAUAUGACAAAAAACUUGCACCAUACAAGUUUGUUGAAGGCAUGAUUGACAGAACAAUUGAGAAGCUAUGGCCUAACAAUCCAAUGCUGGCAUGCGAUAGUUCCUGCCAAAGGAUUCGAAUAAACAUCGGUGAAUAUCUCGAAGCUGACAGGGAUGAAUUGUACCAUCUGGACUAUUGUGGUAGAAGCUUUUUUUUUUAUUAUUUCUUUUUGGAAAUUAUUUGUUUGUUGGUAGUUUGGUUGCUAUAGAAAUAUGGCUGUGUAUGUGGUGGAUUUGAGUGUAAGUUUUGGUUACUUAAACCCAAGGAUUCGGUAUUUAGGAUUAUGUUGAAUUUGAAGUUGUUUAUAUUGAAUGUAAGGAGUAGCACUGAAAUGAUUUCAGGACCAGAAUGUUAGUAGAAAGUAGUAUACCUUACGGGUAUAGUA